UUUGAUCCUGGCUCAGAGCGAACGCUAGCGGCAGGCCUCAAACAUGCAAGUCGUACGCNAAAGUGUAGCAAUACAUGAGUAGAGUGGCGCACGGGUGAGUAACACGUAGCUAACCUCCCCCCUCGCUGGGGACAACUCCGGGAAACCGGAGCUAAUACCGAAUAAUCUGAUCGAAUCUGCGGAUUUGAUCGGUAAAGUCGUAAGACGCGAAGGGAUGGGGCUGCGGCCUAUUAACUUGUUGGUAGGGUAAUGGCCUACCAAGGUGACGAUAGGUAGCUGGUCUGAGAGGACGACCAGCCACACUGGAACUGACACACGGUCCAGACUCCCACGGGAGGCAGCAGUUGGGAAUAUUGGACAAUGGGCGCAAGCCUGAUCCAGCCAUGCCGCGUGAAGGAUGAAGGCCUUCGGGUCGUAAACUUCUUUUAGCAGGGAAAAAGGCCCUGUCCUUAAAAAACAGGGCUUGAUGGUACCUGCAGAAAAAGCACCGGCUAACUCCGUGCCAGCAGCCGCGGUAAUACGGAGGGUGCAAGCGUUGCUCGGAAUUAUUGGGCGUAAAGCGCGUGUAGGCGGCUUUUAUAAGUCUGGUGUGAAAUCCCGGGGCUUAACUCCGGAACUGCACUGGAUACUGUAAGGCUAGAGGGCGAGAGAGGAUGGUGGAAUUCCUGGUGUAGGGGUGAAAUCCGUAGAUUUCAGGAGGAACAUCAGUGGCGAAGGCGGCCAUCUGGCUCGCACCCUGACGCUGAGACGCCGAAAGCGUGGGUAGCAAACAGGAUUAAGAUACCCCUGGUAGUUCCACGCCCUAAACGAUGAUUACUAGACGUCACGAAGCCUAAUCUUUGUGGUGUCGCAGCUAACGCAUUUAAGUAAUCCGCCUGGGAAAGUACGGUCGCAAGAUUAAAACUCAAAGGAAUUGACGGGGGCCCGCACAAGCGGUGGAACAUGUGGUUCAAUUCGAUGCUACGCGAAGAACCUUACCUGGACUUGACAUCCCGUGCUACCCGAUGAAAGUCGGGGUUCCCUUCGGGGACGCGGAGACAGGUGCUGCAUGGCUGUCGUCAGCUCGUGUUGUGAGAUGUUGGGUUAAGUCCCGCAACGAGCGCAACCCUCGCCCUUAGUUACCAUCAUUAAGUUGGGCACUCUAAGGGGACCGCUUGGCUAUAAGCCAGAGGAAGGUGGGGAUGACGUCAAGUCCUCAUGGCCUUUAUGUCCAGGGCAACACACGUGUUACAAUGGAGACUACAAAGCGCAGCAAGCCGGCAACGGCAAGCAAAUCGCAAAAAAGUAUCCUCAGUACGGAUUGGAGUCUGCAACUCGACUCCAUGAAGCUGGAAUCGCUAGUAAUCGUCGAUCAGCACGCGACGGUGAAUACGUUCCCGGGCCUUGUACACACCGCCCGUCACACCAUGGGAGUGAACUGUUCCGGAAAUCGGUGAGCUAACUCGCAAGAGAGGCAGCCGCUUAUGGAAUGUUUCAUGACUGGGGUGAAGUCGGUACAAGGUAGCCGUUGCGGAAGCAGUGGCUGGAUCACCUCCU
rnacentral:rRNA from 1 species